UACGUAGGGGGCAAGCGUUGUCCGGAUUUAUUGGGCGUAAAGAGCGUGUAGGCGGCUAGAUAGGUCCGUUGUGAAAACUCGAGGCUCAACCUCGAGACGUCGAUGGAAACCAUCUGGCUAGAGUCCGGAAGAGGAGAGUGGAAUUCCUGGUGUAGCGGUGAAAUGCGCAGAUAUCAGGAAGAACACCCGUGGCGAAGGCAGCUCGCUGGGACGGUUACUGACGCUGAGACGCGAAAGCGUGGGGAGCAAACAGG
rnacentral:rRNA from 1 species